GACGAACGCUGGCGGCGUGCUUAACACAUGCAAGUCGAACGGAAAGGCCCUGCUUUUGUGGGGUGCUCGAGUGGCGAACGGGUGAGUAACACGUGAGUAACCUGCCCCUGACUUUGGGAUAACUUCAGGAAACUGGGGCUAAUACCGGAUAGGAGCUCCUGCUGCAUGGUGGGGGUUGGAAAGUUUCGGCGGUUGGGGAUGGACUCGCGGCUUAUCAGCUUGUUGGUGGGGUAGUGGCUUACCAAGGCUUUGACGGGUAGCCGGCCUGAGAGGGUGACCGGCCACAUUGGGACUGAGAUACGGCCCAGACUCCUACGGGAGGCAGCAGUGGGGAAUAUUGCACAAUGGGCGGAAGCCUGAUGCAGCAACGCCGCGGGCGGGAUGACGGCCUUCGGGUUGUAAACCGCUUUCGCCUGUGACGAAGCGUGAGUGACGGUAAUGGGUAAAGAAGCACCGGCUAACUACGUGC
rnacentral:rRNA from 1 species